rnacentral:lncRNA from 1 species
CAUGGAAGGAUGUAAACGAAGUAUUGCUCCAGCCUCCCACAACUGUGCCCAGGCCAAUACUGUUGCUGUGUCUCAAUCUUCUACGAGUAACUGAUGUUAUAUACAAGAACGACGAUGGUUAUACUAAUGGUGGAGUUGUGCUUAAGGAUUAUAUAACUUCUCUGCUUGUCGAACGUGCUCCAAUGUAGGUUAUCAUCAAUCAACAUUCGACAUGUUAUCUUCCACGCGUUAUGACAAAUAAAGACUCGGUCUAAACCCUAAGGCUGGGUUAUUACAAAUAAAAGAUUUUAUGCUCUUUAUGGAUUAUUGUAUUUCUGCACGGGGCUUUGGUUCAUGUCCUCCCCGUUGUUUUCUCAGUCAUAAACCUCUUCUACAGUAAUAUAUUUUGCCGGUGUCAAGGUAUUAAUUUAUUUUGUUUGUGAACUUUACUUUCUUAAGAACUUGUACGUUAUGCCAAUAAAAGAUUAAAAGUAUAGAUUGAUGACAUGCAUACUUGGCCUAGUUUAGGGCAGCUCUGAGGAACUACUACCUAUCUGUGUUUGAUGAUCAGAUUCGAUGAAGCAACUUUCUCAUUGUUUGUCGAACAGUUGUUUGAGAUUCUGCUCCCGUUUGCCAAGUGAAAUCAGUGGCCGGCCAUUAUUAUUCAAAUCUUGCUUAACUAAAAUGGCAUGCAUGACAUCAUUUGAAAGCCGUAUUUUUGAAACCAAUCAUGUACGCGGUAAACUGGUAACUAAAAUUUAUCAAGGGCUCAUGGACUAAAAUUACUACUUAUUUUUUUAUUAAUUUAUGGUAAUUGUAUGCAUGUCAUACAUUAACACGUUGUAGAAUUUUUAAACAUUUUGUAUAAAGUUGUAAAUUCAUCGUAUUACUUACACACCGAGUAUCAAAGAUAUUUUAAAACAAACAAAUUGAUGACAUAUUAAUUUUCUUUGACGAAUACACUAUAUUGGUAAAAUGAUUGACAAAUACAUUAGGAUAACGUGGAUUGCAAUACUUGAGCAAACAUGAGAUGUUUGAGUUUAGGGUUUCUCUUAUAGCAUGGUACGUAGCUAUAUAUAUAAAGGCGUACCUACAUACAGGUUACGGUAGGCCAGAUUUUGAGAAAACAUUGUUUUGUUGCAUAUUUAUAAUUAAAAAAAAUUUGAAUUAUGAAAACUAGCCCACCCCAAAUUUCUUUAUGUAAUUGAACUUAGUCCAUAUGAUUUUUUUUUAUCUGAUUACAUAUAUAUUGUUUAUUUUAUUAAAAGCAGUUGCUCGUUUAGUAUAUUUUAUGUCAACUUUCUUCUCUUUAUUUCUUUUUCUUUGUCGUUGUAUACGUCUCCAUUCUCUUCUGCCGAAGCAGCUAAGCCAAGUGUUAAGUUUUUUCUCUUUAAUCUGCAGGUAUGAUUCUUAGUUAUAUUGGUUAUCCUCUUGGAGGGUCUUGUACGUGUCAUAUGACCUAGUUCUCAAAUCUCAACUGAUUAAUGUCUUGAUCAAAUUUAGUCCCAAUAUCUCAUCAUCUCAAAUCUCAAUUGAUUAAUGCUUUGAUAGUCUCAAUAUCCCAUCAUCCCAUCGCACUGUAUUUCUAUUGAUAUUCUAAUUCUAAUCUCAAUUGCUUGCUUACUAAUUCUAAGCCACGUGCCAAGCUUUCUCUCUUUAAUCUAUAAGUAUGAUUCUUAGUUAUAUCGGUCAUCCUCUUGGAGUCUUGUAUGUGUCAUAUGACCUAGUUCUCAAAUGUCAAUUGAUUAAUGCCUUGAUCAAAUUUAGUCCCAAUAUCUUAUCAUCUUAAAUCUCAAUUGAUUAAUGCCUUAAUAGUCUCAAUAUCCCGUCAUCCCGUCACACUGUAUUUGUAUUGAUAUUCUAAUUCUAAUCUUAAUUGCUUGCUUACUUUAUUAUAGAUGACUAAUGCUAAUGAUAUGUGUGUGUGUGUGUGUGUGUGUGUGUGUGUGUGUAUAGUUGUAAUAAUACCAACGUUUGAUUCAUAGUUAUGAGAUUGUGUUUUUCCGUCCUGUUAGGUUUAAAGAUUAUACACUCGUUUACUGUAUUGUUAGAGCGGUGAUUGUGUGCUUAAUUAUUAGAUUUUACUUCUAUUCAAGAGCGUAUGGUUCAAUUUGAGUAUGUAUGUUCUUUUAUCUUUAGCUUUUGUUAUUUAAUUUCUAUAAAAUGUUAUAAUAUUGAUUGCUUAAUGAUCAGUUAACUACGUGAUUAUUUGAUAUAUUUUUAAUCUAAAAUGUGAUAUGUAAAAUAUAGAAGAAAAAAAAUUAAAAAACUUUAUUUAAAAAAAAAUUUCAGCCCACCCUAACCUAAAAUCCUAGGUCCGUCAUUGCAUAUACAGAGUGCAACAAUGAGACUAGUUCAUUAGUCUGAUAUUGACUGAGAAUACUGAUCUUCUUCUCUCUCUUUAUACAUUUCCUAUCGUGACACCAAAAUGAAAUGGAUGAGCUCAUGCGCAAGAAAAUGAUCGGAGUAGUUAUCGGAAUCAAAACCAAUUUGCAUGAAUUCAUGCCUCGCUCUUACAUGGGUGAAGUUGAAUUAAUAAUCCGGGAUUAUCAAACACCAGACGCCACUACGUACUCGAGAAGGUAUGAAAAUUAUACAUGGAAAUUAAGUUUGAAAUAACAGAUGAAGCAAAACGGAAAACGGUGGAAAUGGUUGGACUUCGUUGCUUUCAUACCUUGACUUCUCGACUGAUGAUGACACCAUGGAUGAUUAUUGUAUCGAGUCGAUAUUGUCAUUUGCUCAUCAGGCGCUCUCAGCCGUAGCUAGCUCCACAAUGCAACUUAUUUCUUGUACGUAUCUACGUACGUACGGCUUGUCCUCACACAACAGUCGCUUUGUUAUCAGUGUAUCACUAUAAAUAUCGAGGCACCGUGGUAGUUUAACUCACACCAGCAAGCUAGCUCUCCCGGCCUUAGUUGUUUAACUACAUCAGAGUCUCAGCUUUCAUUUUUCGAGUGCUUCGAUUCCCCUAGCUAUAAUGGAUCCUCUGUUGGUUUCAGCAUCUCAAGCUCAAACCCAAAAUGGCAGUAGCACUGCAGAUGUUGAACGACGUUCAGCAAAUUUUUCUCCCAGCGUUUGGGGGGAAUAUUUUCUGGCAUAUGCAUCUGUGGUAGGUUAUUUUUGAAGUAAUUAGCAGCAUCAUAUGAAUGUCAUAUUUAUCUUAUUACCCCCUUCAAAAUUUUCAUCUACUGUAGGAAACUGCUGAUAUUCAAGCCGACAAACGUGUCAAAGAACUGAAGGAAGAAGUGAAGAGGGUGCUACUUAGUUCUCCGCCUUCACAGAGAUUAGACUUGAUUGAUUACAUUCAGCGCUUGGGGUUGUCACACCAUUUUGAGGAUGAGAUUCACCAAUUUUUGCAGCAAAUUCACAACCAAUACUCAUCUGCUUCUUCAGAUGAUGAUGACCUUCACACUGUUGCUCUACGUUUUCGGCUGCUUAGGCAAGAAGGAUUUAAUAAGGUUUCAUGCGGUGAGAAUCAUUCUUUUUUUCCAACUUUUCUAUAUAUUUAACAAUGGAUUAUUUCCUCUUAUUUCUUCUCUUGGUUGAUGAUCAUUAAGCAGACAUGUUCAACAAGUUCAUCGAUGUUGAUGGGAAUCUUAAGGAAUCAUGCGUCGCUGACGUACCAGGACUGCUAAGUUUGUAUGAAACAGCACAUCUAAGGAAACAUGGAGAAGAUUUCCUAGAUCGAGCAGUGUCCUUCACUACCACUCAUCUUGAGUCUGCAGUAGCAGCACCCGGCCGUUUAAGCCCCCCACUUUCAAAUCAAGUAGCUCAUGCCUUGUAUCAACCACUCUGGAAAGGAAACCCGAGGAUAGAAGCUAGGCAUUACCUCUCUAGCUACCAGGAACUCAACAGUGGUCCACAUUUUAGCCAAAGUCUCUUGACUUUUGCAAAGUUGGAUUUUAAUUUUUUCCAGCGUAUCCAUCAGAAAGAACUAAGUGAAAUCACAAGGUCAAUGAUCAGCUCCCCUUACUCGAUCAAUAUUUACAUACCGAAAAUUAGUGCUAACACAAUUAUACGGAUAUCUAUGCAUGUACUUAUAAAUUGGUAGGUAUUUUCAGGUGGUGGAAGGAGUUGGACUUUGUAAACAAACUACCGUUUGCAAGGGAUCGAAUAGUAGAGUGUUACUUUUGGUCUUUGGGAGUCUGCUUUGAGCCCAAGUAUCGUCUUCCGAGGGAAACAUUAUGCAAAAUUCUUGGCUUACUUACCAUGAUUGAUGACACUUUCGAUACGUAUGGCAAACUUGAUGAACUAGAGCUCUUUACUGAAGCUAUUCAGAGGUAUAAAACCAAUCCUAGUAGCUGCAUGACCAUUUCUUUUGUUUUUCAGUUAUAUAUUAACCUCUUUUAUUUCAUAAGAAUAUUGCGACAUGCUUGGUUGACACGCAUCUAUAUAUGUUGUUUUUGAUUAUCAAUCAGGUGGGAUCUCUCUGCCAUGGAUUCACUGCCUGACUAUAUGAAAAUUAUCUAUGAGGCAGUGCUGAAUGCCUACACUGAGAUUGAAGCCGAGCUUGCCAAGGAGGGAAACUCGUAUCGCAUUGCCUAUUUAGUAGAAGGAGUAAGUCUCAUUAUCUCUCAAGAGAGCUGACUGAUAAUUUUUUAUGGUUCAAUUUCAACACAUUCGGUUUUCAUCUGCCUCUAUAUACUUCAGUACGUAGAGCAAUGACAGAAUGAUUAUGUAUUUUUUUUCUCUGAUGAUCAGACGCAAUGUCUAGUUAGAGCUUACAUGAAGGAAGCCAAAUGGUACCACCUAAAGUGCACACCGAAAACCUAUGAUGAAUACAUGAGGGUGGGACUUAUUACAUCCGGCAUGUUUUUGGUAGAAGCAGCAGUCAUUGUUCCAUUAGCCGGUGAAAUUUCGACAAGAGAUUCCUUGGAAUCGUUGUUCAGAGACCCUAACAACAAAAUUGUAUAUGCUUCAAACAUACUUGGGAGACUUCUGAAUGACAUCCGAAGCCACAAGGUACAAAUACAGCAUAUAUAGUACUGAAUAGGAGUAAUAAACCUUGACCAACUUUGUUAUGGAAGUUUGUAAUUUGUUUCUGAGUAUUACACAUAUGUGCAGCAUGCGCAAAAGAGAGGAAAUGAUUUUUCAGCUAUACAAUGCUACAUGAAAGAACACUAUGUUACAGAAGAAGAAGCGCUGAUCGAACUGAAUAAACAAGUGAAUGACGCAUGGAAGGAUGUAAACGAAGUAUUGCUCCAGCCUCCCACGACUGUGCCCAGGCCAAUACUGUUGCUGUGUCUCAAUCUUCUACGAGUAACUGAUGUUAUAUACAAGAACGACGAUGGUUAUACUAAUGGUGGAGUUGUGCUUAAGGAUUAUAUAACUUCUCUGCUUGUCGAACCUGCUCCAAUGUAGGUUAUCAUCAAUCAACAUUCGACAUGUUAUCUUCCACGCGUUAUGACAAAUAAAGACUCGGUCUAAACCCUAAGGCUGGGUUAUUACAAAUAAAAGAUUUUAUGUUCUUUAUGGAUUAUUGUAUUUCUGCACGGGGCUUUGGUUCAUGUCCUCCCCGUUGUUUUCUCAGUCAUAAACCUCUUCUACGUACAGUAAUAUAUUUUGCCGGUGUCAAGGCUAUUAAUUUAUUUUGUUUGUGAACUUUACUUUCUUAAGAACUUGUUAUGCCAAUACAAUAUUAAAAGUAUAGAUUGAUGACAUGCAUACUUGGCCUAGUUUAGGGCAGCUCUGAGGAACUACUACCUAUCUGUGCUUG